rnacentral:rRNA from 1 species
AACGUAGGAGGCGAGCGUUAUCCGGAUUUACUGGGCGUAAAGCGCAUGCAGGCGGCAUCACAAGUUGGGCGUGAAAUCUCUCGGCUUAACCGGGAGGGGUCGUCCAAUACUGUGGAGCUUGGGUGCAGGAGAGGGAAGCGGAAUUUCCAGUGUAGCGGUAAUAUGCGCAGAUAUUGGAAAGAACACCAGUGGCGAAGGCGGCUUCCUGGCCUGUAACCGACGCUAAGAUGCGAAAGCUAGGGGAG